UUAGUAGCGGCGAGUGAAGCGGCAAAAGCUCAAAUUUGAAAUCUGGCGCCUUCGGUGUCCGAGUUGUAAUUUGAAGAUUGUAACCUUGGGGUUGGCUCUUGUCUAUGUUUCUUGGAACAGGACGUCACAGAGGGUGAGAAUCCCGUGCGAUGAGAUGCCCAAUUCUAUGUAAGGUGCUUUCGAAGAGUCGAGUUGUUUGGGAAUGCAGCUCUAAGUGGGUGGUAAAUUCCAUCUAAAGCUAAAUAUUGGCGAGAGACCGAUAGCGAACAAGUACAGUGAUGGAAAGAUGAAAAGAACUUUGAAAAGAGAGUGAAAAAGUACGUGAAAUUGUUGAAAGGGAAGGGUUUGAGAUCAGACUCGAUAUUUUGUGAGCCUUGCCUUCGUGGCGGGGUGACCCGCAGCUUAUCGGGCCAGCAUCGGUUUGGGCGGUAGGAUAAUGGCGUAGGAAUGUGACUUUACUUCGGUGAAGUGUUAUAGCCUGCGUUGAUGCUGCCUGCCUAGACCGAGGACUGCGAUUUUAUCAAGGAUGCUGGCAUAAUGAUCCCAAACCGCCCGUCUUGAACCACGGACCAAAA
rnacentral:rRNA from 1 species